rnacentral:misc_RNA from 1 species
UGGCGAUCCAAUCCUCCGCCGCACCGGCCACCGCCGGCGAGGAAUCCAAAGCCCCAGAGUCGGUAAAAUCAUUGGAUGGGACUGGCAGUGAAUCUUCAGAAAAGCCAUUAGUUGCAAUGUUAGAGCCAAUGAGGGAGGAGCAGGUGCAAAAUGCGGUGAACUUUUUGUCUCAUCCACGAGUACGGGGUUCCCCCGUAAUUUACAGGCGUUCCUUCCUAGAAAAGAAAGGCCUAACCAGGGAAGAAAUAGAUGAAGCCUUUCGUCGGGUUCCGGAUCCGCCUCCAGAUGCUACAAAGGUUGAGGCUGCUCCCGCAAAUCAAGCUGCCCAGCCAAAACCAUCGACGAUUGUGCAGCCGCAAGCUUCGAUUCAAAGUCAACAACCUGCAGCUUUUCCUGUUGUUGGCACUGCCAUGGUCCCAAGUUUGCAGCAACCCAGAUUUCACUGGUCUCAUGCUCUGCUUGCUGUAGGGGUGCUUGCUGCCUCAGGGGCUGGAACUGCUGUUCUUUUUAAGAAGACUGUUCUUCCUAGGUUAAAAACUUGGAUCCAAGAUGUUAUAGCAG